rnacentral:lncRNA from 10 species
GCCGUGGCCCUCCCCGCACCACGCGCAGCCCUCCAGGCCCCCGGGGCGCGCCGAGGCGCUUCCUUACCUUGGGGGACUCGCUAUCUCUUUCUCUGUCUCUCCUUGGAACAGCGGCCCCCAAAAUGCAACUGAAGCCAUUUCCCUGCUCUGAGACCUCGGACAAGUCACUCCCCGCCAGGGCUGCAGUUUCCUGUCUCUAAAAGGAGUUGAUGAGCAGCUCUAGGUGGGGUGGCGAUGGGGGACGCAGGAGGUGCCCCGUGCCUGUGGUCCCCUGUUGAAGUUCACGCCUCCUCAAAUGCAGCGGCCACCCAGCGCUCGCUGGGUGCCAUGUGUGCCCCACAAAACACCUUUCCUCAGCCUCGAGGACAAGUACCAGAGGCCAGUUCCGCGGGAAAAGUUAAUGGUGGUUUCCUCCAGGGUCCCUAAAGCCCCUCCUGAAAAGUGACUGUGGUUCCCCUCCCCCUGUCCUCAGGUUUUGAGUGGGCACAACCUAAGCUGGAUCUGAUAGGCCCUGUCACCUGCUGGUUCCUCCCUGGUUGACACCAAGCAGAGGGGCAAUGCUCUCUCGCUGUCCUUAGACCCAAGCAGGAGAAAAAUCUACCCUCCCUCCUUCCCUCCCCAUUCCCCAUCACACCAUGAUUGGCUUUUAAGCUUCAGGGAUGUUUCCCGGACCGAGUGUGGCUUCAGAGUCAGAGAGAUGUGAGUUCAAGACCACUUGCUUAGCUCAGCUCUGGCAACACUUCCUAGCCAAGCCUUGCCUGCCCUGAUGCUGGACUAGGUGCCCUCCUUGGUAUUCCAGCUCCACCUCCUCCCUCCAUCGCUGCUCUAUCAGGCUGGAUUGGAACUGUGUUGCUGUGCGUCUCCCUCGCUGGACUGUGAGCUUCUCCUCUCAGGCCGACCAAGCCUGCCUCACCUCUACCUCCCCUGCACCCAUCCCAGCCCUGUGGAAGACAGGACUGUGCAGCUGGCAGCAAGAGGGUUAAAGCGUUGAGAUGCUCCAACAUGUUAGCAGCAUGAGGACCAGGUGGAAACGAAUGGUUACCAGGCUGCCACGCCACAUCCGCCUGGCUCCUGCUUAUUCCUGGCACCACAUAUGGUCUGCACGUCCCCCUGACUGCCUGGGAGAGGGACUGAGCCGAGAGGGCUCUGGGGGCUUCAGGACUCAAAGGGUGUGUAUAAGUAUGUUAGUUACAGGUUCACGGGCAUGUGUGUGCAUGCAUCCGGUGGGGCAGAAAGGGAGGAGAAUAGAGGGAAAAGAAGAGAGAUGAAUGAGGGAGGAAAGAAGGAAGGUGAAAGAGGGGGAGGGAGAAUGAAAGAGAGAGGAGUCACGAGAAGAACGUGAGAUGGGGAUGGAGAGGGAGGGGAGAGGAGUAGAGGGGAAGGGAGGGAAGGGGAGGGGAGGAGAGGAGGUACCAUUCAUCCAGAGGAGGAAUGGAAAUGAGGCUGUGACUUUAUGCAGCACAGCUAUAAGCUAGAAAGCCGAUAGACUGAGAAUUCAGCCAGACAGUGGGACUUGCAGGUAACACAGAACCUACAGGAAGGAGAGCAGGAGAAGGAGAUGAGACAGGAAACUGGAGUGUGAGGCUUGAUCAGGGAAGGCCUCGCAGAGCACCCUGAUACCCUGAUCACACCCUGGGACGACCAUAGCCAGAACCACCCUUAGACCCUGCUCCUCAGUGGAGCCCCAUGCUUUGGAGUGCCUGGAAAUUUCCUAAGCCCCCUCCCAUGGCUGGGACUGGCCAGGCUGCCUGUGCCAUCUAGGUGGGGCACCCUGAACUCAGGCUUGAUCUUCGUGGACUUUAGCAUCCAUUUAUCCCCUUAACCAAAUGCCCUGAGGAGCUUCAAGACUUGCAUCUAUGUGGGCCCUGCACACCCUAGGAGGAGCCCUGACCACUCCCUUGGAUAAGCCAUGUUGGAGUGGGGAUGGGGUGUGCCUUUGAGGAACACCAGCCUUGGGCUCUCCCUUGAGAGGAUCCCAGCCCCGAAUGGGCUGCACGUGCAGCCAGUACCUCCCCGCUCACUUUGCCUACAAUCCUGAGUUCUGAGAGGAAGAUGGACUUUCCUCCUCACCAGCUGCACAACAUAAGGAAGAAAGGUGAUGGGCAUCGCAGUGCUUUGCAUAUGAGAAAGAGUGGGGCUGGGCUCAGGGGGUGUCAGCAAAUUCACAGGGGAAGAUAAUUUACUCAGAUCUAGAAGAUAAAACAGUGAAACAUUGGGCCGGGCAUAGUGUCUCACACUUGUAAUCCCAGCACUU